rnacentral:lncRNA from 1 species
CUUGGUGGCAUCCAAUCACAACCUCACUUUACAGCUGUGUGAUGCUGACAGGCACAUGUCGCCCACCUUAUCUGUGUGACCUAGAAGCUUGAACCACAUUCAGUUGGGGUUGAGGCGGAAAGCGAAGCAGUGGGUCCUCCACAGCAGGUGGGCAGCUGAGCUCGGGAAGGACAUCAGACACCAGACUGCAGUCUCUGGUCCGAGGUUCACAGUGCCACUCCUGACUGGGCUGCCUCCUGGGGACUGGGAAAAUCAUGGGCACCACAGGCCCUCAGGGCCCACCUAGCAGAGUCCCUGGGGUCUUCCAUGCACGCAAGGUGCUGGCCACCUUCAGGGGCUGUCGUGUGACGACCCAAGUGAGAGCUGGAGGGCGGAGAUGGCUGAAAUCUGAUCUAGAGAGCACCUCUGUCCAUGCAGCAGAGCCCAGCCUCCUGCUGACCCCGCCGGUCUGAUGGCUGGAGCAUGUGCUCCUUCUUCCAGGAGGGUGUGCAGCUGACUUUGGAAGACCGUGCUCUCGGCCUGGAGCCCGUGGUGCAGUGUCUGCCCUGGGCACGAAGAGGAAGGAGGAGAGUUCUCAGGGCUGAGGCCUGAGCUGAGCUGAGUGGGGAGUGGAGGAGGAAUGGGUGGAAAUGGGAGUGGCCCAAAGCACCGGAUCAGCACUGGGAGGGUUUGGCUGGAGUGAGGACAGCUGGGGGCCCCACACGAGCAGCUUUGACUUAAUUCUCUUGGAGGACAGGCCAAGGACUCGCCUCUGACCCUAUCCAUGGGCGCCUUUCACAGGCAGUGUCAGGGGCCAGGGCAGGGUGAGGGUCUGCAGCCGUGUGUGCAAAUGGGAGUGCAUGACACCCAGUGUGCAGGGCAACCAUGUCCUGAGCACCUUUUGCCCUUGCUGGUUCACGGCUCUCAGUCUUCCUGGCCCUGAGCAGGUGAUCUAGGGUUUACAUACGCUUGGAUUUUACAAGUCUACUCACAUCACACUGUGCCAUCUUGUCAGAAGGAGAAACUGAGGCAAAAGAUCCUGAAGAACCUGCGGGGAGGAGCUGCCCUCCAAUCUGAAACAAGACGCAGGGAACAGACUGCCCAGGCUCCUUCGUUCAGCAGUCUGCACCUGUAUUUGGUUCUUUCCCUCCAUAUCUUGGAAAGAGGGGAGAGAGAAGUUCUUUGGGCAACGGCCAUCUGGAGCACUUCUCACUGGGCACAGGUUUGGGGGGGGAUGGCAGGAGGCUGUUGCCCCAAUAUUCCUUAGACUGUGGGUGAAUGGAGAGCUAGAAGUAUGGAGAUUCAGCAGGUUAGGAUUGAUGUAGGGGCCGGGUGGCUCCAGCACUCUUGGAGCUCAAAGCAGGAAGAUCAUCAGUUCAAGGCCAGCCUGGGUAAUUUAGCAAUUUAGGAAGGCUCAGUCUCAAAAUAAAAAGAGGGCUGGGGAUGUAGCUCAGGGUGAAGGCCCCGGGUUCCACCCCCACUACCAAAACAACGGAAACAAAGGAAGAGAAGAAGGAAAAGAGAGCAUGAAGAGAGAGACAGAGAGACGGAGACAGAAAGAUGGAGACAGAGGGGAGAGAGAGAGACAGUGUGGUCCCCUCUUAACCCCUAGCUGUGUGGGAAAGAGACAGGAGGAGGAAGACUGCACAGGAGACAGGAGGGCGUGGCCUGAGCUGGAGCAGAGGGGCCGCUGGUGGCCUGGCGCUGAAACCCUACUGCUAAGCCGGGCCCUUCCACAGCCCUGCUGUGAGGGUGAGGAAGAGCACUGGCUGCGGUUGGUCCAGGACCCUCGGGGGAGCGCUUGUCCGCCCGCCCAUUACCCCGGCCCUGGGAGCCUCCUCUCUCCCCUGCCCAGAAGCUCUCUUGCUCUCUCUGUCCCCGGGCUUUGAGAAGGGCAGGGCGCCCCGCCCAGGAGGGGAAGUGAACAGCAGCCUCCGCCCUGGGUUCCCAGUGAGCGUGUGAGCGUGUGAACGUGUGUGAGUGUGUGUGUGUGUGUGUGUGUGUGUAGGCUCACGCAGAUCAGACACAGAGCGCAGAGUGGAGAGCUUCCCGGACCUUCACAGAGAGCUUGGCCCUUGAAGCUUGUCACAGCCGGCCCAGCUGAGCAGAGGCGCAGGAGCAGCCUGGGGUAAGUGACGUGCUGGGGACUGGGGCGAAGGCAAGGGGGCUCGGGCGGAGCUGGACGUGUAGCGAGCGGAGAGGGAAGGGGACCCCUGUGGCCCUCUGCCCACCCCCCCUCGAUGCCCCAGCCCUAUAUCUCCGUCCCUGGGCCCUGCUACCUGCAGCCACGUGGGGGCUGGGAACCCCAAGUGCAGCCACUAAGCGGGACCCACACAGUCACCCGGUAGGGAGGCACCAUGGCCAGUGCUCACGCAGGGGACACUGAGGAAGCCAGAUUUCCCAGGCCCCCAGAACCAGAGUCGUGGCGCAAAAGUCCUGAUUCUGCUGUAGGUGUCCCCACAGCCAGAUCACAGAAGCUCGGGGACACUCGGACCUUCAGGAGGCAGGAGGUGAUGCCUGGAAUGGAAGUUUCACUUGUCCGGCAGCCCAACCCUCAUGUGGCGCAUUCUGGGGAGCAGAGGUGGGGAGAGCAGGCCUUGGAGCUGGCGCGGGGGUGCAGGGCGGUGGCAGCCUGGCCGGCAGCCCUCCCUUUUGCUUCUCUAGCUUCUCCAUCUCUGUCUUCUCCAGGUGAUGCUGGGCUAUGGCUUCACAUCUCCAUGGACCCUCUGAGGCUGGUGGGACCCCUCGCUACCUACAGCCUGGGCUGGUGUUCCCCGAGCUCUCCAGGGUCUCAUAGUAGCAGGGGUCUGGCAGUAUGGCUGGAGCAGUCGGAUGUGAUGGCCGAGUGAGGAGACUCACUAACCACAGAUGGAGAAUGGCAGCACCCAAGCCUGACUCGGGACCAAGCUGAACCCUGUACCCAGCACCAGUGAGAACAUGAAGAACCUGGCACGUGAUAUCAGUCUUCUAGCACGAGGCCAGUGUGACCUCCGGGGUCAGCUGUGGAGACACAGAAGGGCGGCAGUGACUGAGCUGUGGCCACCGACCUCUUGCUCUUGCAGCAUCUGUUCUGUGUGCAGGACACACCCGCUCUUUUUCC